UACGAAGGGUGCAAGCGUUACUCGGAAUUACUGGGCGUAAAGCGUGCGUAGGUGGUGAGUUAAGUCUGUCGUGAAAGCCCCGGGCUCAACCUGGGAAUGGCGAUGGAUACUGGCUCGCUAGAGUGCGGUAGAGGAGAGUGGAAUUCCCGGUGUAGCAGUGAAAUGCGUAGAGAUCGGGAGGAAUACCGGUGGCGAAGGCGGCAUCCUGGACCGACAUUGACGCUGAGGAGCGAAAGCUAGGGGGAGCAAACGGG
rnacentral:rRNA from 1 species